AAUACCGCAUACGAUCUGAGGAUGAAAGCGGCGGACCGCAAGGCGUCGCGCGAUUAUGAGCCGAUAUCCGAUUAGCUAGUUGGUGGGGUAAUGGCCCACCAAGGACGAUCGGUAGCUGGUCUGAGAGGAUGAUCAGCCACACUGGAACUGACACGGUCCAGACUCCUACGGGAGGCAGCAGUGGGGAAUAUUGGACAAUGCGCAAGCCUGAUCCAGCCAUGCCGCGUGUGUGAAGAAGGCCUUCGGGUUGUAAAGCACUUUUGUUGGGGAAGAAAAGCCGUCGGUUAAUACCGGUGGUGAUGACGGUACCCAAAGAAUAAGCACCGGCUAACUUCGUGCAGCAGCCGCGGUAAUACGAAGGGUGCAAGCGUUACUCGGAAUUACUGGGGAAAGCGUGCGUAGGUGGUUUGUUAA
rnacentral:rRNA from 1 species